AUAAAAAAGAAGAUGUGGUAUGAUUGCGAAUGAGACAACUCUCCACAAGAGACCAAAUGACACAGAAAUUAACAACUAUGGGUCACCUUACGGCCUUCAACAAUGAGCAAAUCCCUUACCACAUAGUCAGCUAUAAAAGGCCCUGAAAUGACAAAUGUAAAACAAUUCAAACGAGAAUUUAAUUUAUGUAAAAAAAAUAAACAAAAACAAAUAUGUGACACAUCAACAAACGACAACCACUGAAUAACAGGCUCCUGACUUGGGACAGGCACAUACAUUUUGUACAUACAUAAUGUGACAGGGUUAAACAUGUUAGCGGGAUCCCAACCCUCCCCCUAACCUGGGACAGUGGUGCAACAGCACAACAUAAGAACAAAUUAUAUAAAAAUCAGUUGAAAAAGGCUUGACUCAUCAGAUGGAUACAAAUAGCAAUACAUUUAACAAAAACACAG
rnacentral:lncRNA from 1 species